rnacentral:rRNA from 1 species
UGGGGAAUAUUGGACAAUGGGCGCAAGCCUGAUCCAGCCAUGCCGCGUGAGUGAUGAAGGCCUUAGGGUUGUAAAGCUCUUUCGCCGACGAAGAUAAUGACGGUAGUCGGAGAAGAAGCCCCGGCUAACUUCGUGCCAGCAGCCGCGGUAAUACGAAGGGGGCUAGCGUUGUUCGGAAUCACUGGGCGUAAAGCGCACGUAGGCGGAUUGUUAAGUCAGGGGUGAAAGCCUGGAGCUCAACUCCAGAACUGCCCUUGAUACUGGCAAUCUCGAGUCCGGAAGAGGUAAGUGGAACUGCGAGUGUAGAGGUGAAAUUCGUAGAUAUUCGCAAGAACACCAGUGGCGAAGGCGGCUUACUGGUCCGGUACUGACGCUGAGGUGCGAAAAGCGUGGGGAGCAAAACAGGAUUAGAUACCCUGGUAGUCCACGCCGUAAACGAUGGAGGCUAGCCGUUGGCGAGCAUGCUCGUCAGUGGCGCAGCUAACGCAUUAAGCCUCCCGCCUGGGGAGUACGGUCGCAAGAUUAAAAACUCAAAGGAAUUGACGGGGUCAUAGCUGUUUCCU